ensembl:lncRNA
AUAGAAAAGAGAAAAGAUUGCAGGUGCCAGAGUGGAGACCCUGAUUUUGGCACCUGAGAGGCUGGAGGGGUGAGGAACGUCCACCGACCCAUCUCCCGCUGUUGGAGGCGUGUCUUUCCCUCAGGGCCCCACUCACGUAAUACAGGGGGGGGCCUCACACUGACCCAUGAUCUCUUCCCUCCCUCCCUGUGAGCCGUAGUAGUUCCUGUUUGCAGAUGAGGAACUGAACACCACAGCCGAGCCUGGACUCUGAGGCACAGCACAGUAUCUGGGGCCUCUGUGCUGCUUGUUGACUACAUGAAUAAUGAAGCAGCCAGUCCCGUCUGCGACAUCACGUGCUGUGAGAACUCCCCAGGGAUGAACACCCCGUAGGAGCCUCCCCUGGGCAUUGAAGCGUCUGACGGGCCGAUGGGGAAAGGAAUGGAGCCGAGAGACCGUGAAAAUGGAUGCUGGGCUGUCACCUUGCCUCCCUCCUGCUUCUCAUAUCCCUACAGCCUCCAAACUGCAGUGUGAAUCCAAAUUCAUUGUGAAUCCAGCCCAAGCACCUGGCUCAUCCAGGCAUCUGGAUGAUGGAAAUGGAGUUUUCUCUCUUGCCAGACCAUAAGGGCUGAUCCUUUCUAACAGUUUGUCAUGGAUUUUCCUUGGGAAUUUGUAUUCUUGGGGGAGGUUUCUGGGGUCUCUCUGCCUGGAGAUGGGCUCUAGGAGAUGGAAGGGAAGAGGGGAGGGUGAGGCCACGAAGAGUCAGGUCUGGAGGCUGACCUUCAGUCUUUUCAUCCUGGCAAGCAUUUUUAGAUCUGCUGGGUUUGGGUACCUAUCAGCAAGGCUAUUUUAAAGCACAUAAAGCCUGAAAGUCAGUGGAGUAGGGCUGGGACAGAGGAAGCCUGGUUUGGCAAGGACUGCUGCUCAGGAAGUGCCGGAGGGCCCGGCAGUUGGGAAAGCGCUGCAGAAAGUCAGGGGAGGGAGGGGUCAUGGCCAUACCCUCAGCCUCUGCACCCUCGCUGGAGGAGAUACUCAUGUUCCACACCCAGGGACCAUCUCCUGCAAGGGAGAUGAGCCAUAGGAAGCAGCUAAUUUCACUGUAAGGAAGAGAUGUUAACACUCAACUUAUUUCCCCAUCCCAGACCCCAGCUAGCACCUGCACACAGGUAGCCUCUCCCUAACCCAGGUGGCCAACACCCCGCAGAAGGAAGCUUCUGGCCCUUUGCCUUAUUCUCAGCUUACACCCCUGCCCCCUUCUUCGCCACCUGCCCUGAAGUCCUGUUCCUGGUCAUCCUGGAACUUGACCUCUGACCUCACACGCUGUAUCUGGCUCUGCUCUUGUCAUAUAUGUCUGACCUUCGAUACCACAUGUCUGGUCCUCCCUUUUUCUACCCUCGUUGAAGAUACUUUGCAUUUGUGUCCCACACCAUAUGCUUUAGAAGGGAAGGCAUCCACCUGAGGCGCCUGGGCCAGCAGGUACCUGGGCCAGAUGCCCUGUAAAUCCUGGCUCUGCUGUGAGCCAGAUCACCAUGGAGAGUUCCUGAACCUCUCCAAGCCUUGGCUUCAUUUUUGGUGUUUUGAAGUAUAGUUGAUUUACAACCUUGGCUUCUCUGUUUGUACAAUGGGGAUCAGAAUAGCACCAGCCUCAUAAGAUUGCUGGAGAG